rnacentral:rRNA from 1 species
CCUACGGGAGGCAGCAGUGGGGAAUAUUGCACAAUGGGGGCAACCCUGAUGCAGCGACGCCGCGUGAGUGAAGAAGUAAUUCGUUAUGUAAAGCUCUAUCAGCAGGGAAGAAAAUGACGGUACCUGAGUAAGAAGCCCCGGCUAACUACGUGCCAGCAGCCGCGGUAAUACGUAGGGGGCAAGCGUUAUCCGGAUUUACUGGGUGUAAAGGGUGCGUAGACGGCAGUGCAAGUCUGGAGUGAAAGGCGGGGGCUCAACCCCCGGACUGCUCUGGAAACUGGACGGCUGGAGUGCAGGAGAGGUAAGUGGAAUUCCUAGUGUAGCGGUGAAAUGCGUAGAUAUUAGGAGGAACACCAGUGGCGAAGGCGGCUUACUGGACUGUAACUGACGUUGAGGCUCGAAAGCGUGGGGAGCAAACAGGAUUAGAUACCCGAGUAGUC